GUGAGACUCUGGGUUCGAUCUUCAGCACCACAUAAGAAUAAAUAAGUGAAAUAAAGGUAUUGUUUCCAACUACAACUAAAAAUGCAGAUUUAUAUUAUACUUGGAUGACCUGGGAAGGAUGGGAUCUCAUGAUACAGGUCAUUUUUGGAAUCCUGUCUCCACUGUAAGUAAGUAAGUAAGAGGUAAGUAUUGUAAGGCAGGUUAUUUAAGAGUAAGAGCAAAUACUAGUUGAGCUUAACAUGUCAGAUACUGUUGAAGUCCUAGAUGUUUCUGAUGUAGGUCUUAGUUUCCCAUCUUUAUGGAAGGACAGUGGAACCUACUUCAUAAAAUUGUGAGGAGUAAAAGAAAUAGUGUAUAUUAAGUACUUGGCCAGAAAUGUAGUAGACAUUCAGUAAUCUUUAUUUAUAAUUUUACUAACAAUAACAGGAAUGAGAAAAGGAUAAUGGGAUGAGCAGCACAUUUAUCUGGAAGUUUAAAUGGGAAUAUUCCUUCUGGAAAGCAAUUGGGUAAGAUCAAAGUCCUCACAUUACUUUGUAGCAAUCUCACCUCUUGGAAUCUCUUCUAAGAAGAUAAUUAGAAAUGUGAAAAGUGAUUCAUAUUUUUUUUAAAAAAUAUUUUUUUUUUUUAGGUGUAGAUG
rnacentral:lncRNA from 1 species